UCCGAGUUGACCCCGGCAGUCUCGCUAGACAUAGUAACUAGCGACGAGGGUUGCGCUCGUUGCGGGACUUAACCCAACACCUCACGACACGAGCUGACGACAGCCAUGCAGCACCUGUCUCCGAUCCAGCCGAACUGAAAGGCUCCAUCUCUGGUGCCCGCGAUCGGGAUGUCAAAGGUUGGUAAGGUUCUGCGCGUUGCUUCGAAUUGAACCACAUGCUCCACCGCUUGUGCGGGCCCCCGUCAAUUCCUUUGAGUUUUAAUCUUGCGACCGUACUCCCCAGGCGGGGCACUUAAUGCGUUAGCUGCGGCACCCAGGGGGUCAAUACCCCGGACACCUAGUGCCCAUCGUUUACAGCGUGGACUAC
rnacentral:misc_RNA from 1 species